UUUUUAGAAAGAAAUUUGUGUCUCAGAGUUCUGCAGACUGGGAAAUCCAAGAUUGAGCUGCUGUAUCUCCUGACAAUGGUCAUCUUGGAUAACGUGGUAGAAGGGCAAGUUAACUCUGCCAGACUCAUUGGUUAAAACUUCAAGUGUGAUUCCAACAAUAUUUUCAUCAAUUUUAUGAAUUCUUGACUCUUUUGAAUUUUAUUGUUGAAUGUUAACAACAUCUGACCACCAACAAGAGACAAGCCACAAAAGGCCUUGACAUUGUGAGCUGGGAAAUACUCUAGCAUGGAUCCAGGAAGGUUGUUUGUCUAAAGACUAAUUUCCCAAGUGGUCACAUCAUUAGUGAAUAUUUUCAGGCUUUGAUGGUUUUGCUUGCCUCUGAUGUUGGUUUCCCUCUGCAUCCUGCAGCCUCAUAACCAUAGGAACUCUUCUAAUGAAUUUGAGGAUAACAAGGGCCCCCUGAAGUUUGAAACUCAUAUUGUCUCAAAAACCAAGUUCUUCACCUAACCCAAAAGCCAAGUUAGCCUCUACUGUACACAGACUGGAGCACAAUAACUUGUUUGCAACUCUACCUCACCCUUAUUUGGGAAUAAUUUUUUUGAAAAUGCACCCUGAAUGUGAGGUACCAGGGACAUAUUGCCUUUUCUGUCUAGAAACCAAUGGCUACUGCAGCAACCACCAGGUAUCAAAAGAUCACUAACUACAGGAAAUGAAUGUGGGCAGAGGUGGUAAAGUCCUUUCUAUCCCUCAAGGUGGGUGGCAAGGUGACUCCAGCCAUUGCAGACCCUUCUCUAAGUGGGACAUUCCAGGUGUUCUAACAUGGGAGCCUUGAGCAAUGGUAGGAAGUCUGAAAGACCCUAUGCUGACCCAAGCGUCUGAACUCACUGCUGCUUUGAUAUGAUCUCUAGUUACUCUCACUGCCUGAUUUCUUUAACUACAUCAUGGUUUAUUUUUAGA